rnacentral:rRNA from 1 species
GACGAACGCUGGCGGCGCGCUUAACACAUGCAAGUCGAACGGUGAACGGGGCUUCGGCCCCGGGAUCAGUGGCGAACGGGUGCGUAACACGUGGGCAACCUGCCCCAGACCCUGGGAUAACCCCGGGAAACCGGAGCUAAUACCGGAUACUCCGACCGAACCGCAUGGCUCGGCCGGGAAAGGUCCGCCGGUCUGGGAUGGGCCCGCGGCCUAUCAGCUUGUUGGUGGGGUAACGGCCCACCAAGGCGACGACGGGUAGCUGGUCUGAGAGGACGACCAGCCACACUGGGACUGAGAUACGGCCCAGACUCCUACGGGAGGCAGCAGUGGGGAAUCUUGCACAAUGGGCGAAAGCCUGAUGCAGCGACGCCGCGUGAGGGACGAAGGCCCUCGGGUUGUAAACCUCUUUCGGCAGGGACGAAGCGAUCGUGACGGUACCUGCAGAAGAAGCCUCGGCUAACUACGUGCCAGCCGCCGCCGUAACAC